rnacentral:sRNA from 1 species
AGUUGUUGGGACAGCGAAAUGGAGGGGUGUGUGUCUAACCUAAUGGUCUGCAACCUGGCCUACAGCGGGAAGCUGGAAGAGUUGAAGGAGAGUAUUCUGGCCGAUAAAUCCCUGGCUACUAGAACUGACCAGGACAGCAGAACUGCAUUGCACUGGGCAUGCUCAGCUGGACAUACAGAAAUUGUUGAAUUUUUGUUGCAACUUGGAGUGCCAGUGAAUGAUAAAGACGAUAUCGCUGUCAUGUUACUGGAAGGCGGGGCUAAUCCAGAUGCUAAGGACCAUUAUGAGGCUACAGCAAUGCACCGGGCAGCAGCCAAGGGUAACUUGAAGAUGAUUCAUAUCCUUCUGUACUACAAAGCAUCCACAAACAUCCAAGACACUGAGGGUAACACUCCUCUGUAAGUGACAAGUAGCAGUCAUUUGUAUUCUACCUGACAUUAGCCUUCUUGCAAUAAUUCUUAUACAUCAUUUCUUUUUUUAUUCUGCUUAUAAAUGCAAUACGUGUUAAUGACAAAAAUGUUAAAUUGCACAAAAUAUAAAGAUAAAAAUUGCCUAUUAUCUUGCCACUCAGAAAUAACUACUGAUCACAUUCUUGUGUAUUUCCUCCUGGUCUUUUAUAUUCAAAUGUAUAUAUUUUAUACAUACAUAUUUUUUAGCAAAAUUGGGGUCAUACUGUGUAUGUAGUUUUAGCUCUUGUUCUUUUCACCUCAUAGCAUAAGCAUAUAUUAAAUGUUUAAAACCUUUUUAAUGGGUAUAUAAAAUUCUGUAUAGAUGUGCCAUAAUUUAAUCAUUCCUCUAUUACUGUAUAUUUAAACUUUUGUGAGUUUUUCACUAUUAUAAAUAAUGGUACAUUGAGCCAGGCAUAAUGGCUCAUGUCUGUAAUCCCAGCACUUUGUAAAGCCAAGGCGGGAGGAUCACUUGAGGCCAGGAGUUCAAGACCAGCCUGGGCAACACAGCAAGACCCCCCGUCUCUAGAAAAAAUUAAAAACUUAGCUAGGCAUGGUGGCAUGCACCUGUAGUACUAGCUACUCGGGAGG